CAGUCGCCGCGGGAAUACGGAGUGCAAGCGUUAUCCGGAUUUAUUGGGUUUAAAGGGUCCGUAGGCGGAUCUGUAAGUCAGUGGUGAAAUCUCACAGCUUAACUGUGAAACUGCCAUUGAUACUGCAGGUCUUGAGUAAAUUUGAAGUGGCUGGAAUAAGUAGUGUAGCGGUGAAAUGCAUAGAUAUUACUUAGAACACCAAUUGCGAAGGCAGGUCACUAAGAUUUAACUGACGCUGAUGGACGAAAGCGUGGGGAGCGAACAGGAUUAGAUACCCGCGUAGUCCCUGUCUCUUAUACAC
rnacentral:rRNA from 1 species